GAUGAAGAACGCAGCGAAAUGCGAUAAGUAAUGUGAAUUGCAGAAUUCAGUGAAUCAUCGAAUCUUUGAACGCACCUUGCACCCUUUGGACUGCUCCAAAGGGUAUGCUCGUUUGAGUGUCAUUGUACUCUCACACUCUCUGAUCCUUUGGAUUUGGGGAGCAGUGGACUUGGGUGCUUGCUGCUUCCUUGUGGCUCACCUGAAAUGCAUCAGUGCAUCUCUCGAUUGGACAUAGUACGGAGUGAUAAGUGUCUUCGCCGGCACCUCAUAUGAGGGUGGCCGAUCGGGAGCUCUGUGCUUUCAAACCGUCUUCGGACAACGCUGACAACUUGACCUCAAAUCGAGUAGGACUACCCGCUGAACUUAAGCAUAUCAAUAAGCGGAGG
rnacentral:misc_RNA from 1 species